UACGAAGGGGGCUAGCGUUGCUCGGAUUGACUGGGCAUAAAGGGCGCGUAGGCGGUUCGUACAGUCAGACGUGAAAUCCUGGGCUCAACCUGGGGGCUGCGUUUGAUACGUGCGGACUUGAGUGCGGAAGAGGGUCGUGGAAUUCCCAGUGUAGAGGUGAAAUUCGUAGAUAUUGGGAAGAACACCGGUGGCGAAGGCGGCGACCUGGUCCGAUACUGACGCUGAGGCGCGAAAGCGUGGGGAGCAAACAGG
rnacentral:rRNA from 1 species